rnacentral:rRNA from 1 species
CCUACGGGUGGCAGCAGUGAGGAAUAUUGGUCAAUGGACGAGAGUCUGAACCAGCCAAGUAGCGUGAAGGAUGACUGCCCUAUGGGUUGUAAACUUCUUUUAUAUGGGAAUAAAAUGUUCCACGUGUGGGAUUUUGUAUGUAACAUAUGAAUAAGGAUCGGCUAACUCCGUGCCAGCAGCCGCGGUAAUACGGAGGAUCCGAGCGUUAUCCGGAUUUAUUGGGUUUAAAGGGAGCGUAGGUGGAUUGUUAAGUCAGUUGUGAAAGUUUGCGGCUCAACCGUAAAAUUGCAGUUGAAACUGGCAGUCUUGAGUACAGUAGAGGUGUGCGGAAUUCGUGGUGUAGCGGUGAAAUGCUGAGAUAUCACGAAGAACUCCGAUUGCGAAGGCAGUUCACUGGACUGCAACUGACACUGAGGCUCGAAAGUGUGGGUAUCAAACAGGAUUAGAUACCCGGGUAGUC